GAUAAACGCUGGCGGCGUGCUUCAGGCAUGCAAGUCGAACGGUCCUCCCGGUUCGCCGGAAGGAUAGUGGCGAACGGGUGAGUAACACGUAAGUAACCUGCCCAGAAGUGGGGAAUAACUGGCCGAAAGGCUGGCUAAUACCGCAUGUGAUGGCUCUUCCCUGGAGGGGUCAUGAAAGAUUUAUCGCUUCUGGAGGGGCUUGCGGCAGAUUAGCUUGUUGGUGGGGUAAUGGCCUACCAAGGCGACGAUCGGUAGCUGGGCUGAGAGGACGGUCAGCCACACGGGGACUGAGAUACGGCCCCGACUCCUACGGGAGGCAGCAGCUAGGAAUCUUGGGAAUGGGCGAAAGCCUGACCCAGCAACGCCGCGUGGGCGAUGAAGGCCUUCGGGUCGUAAAGCCCUUUUGCAGGGGAAGAUGAUGACGGUACCCUGCGAAUAAGCCACGGCUAACUACGUGCCAGCCGCCGCGGUAAUAC
rnacentral:rRNA from 1 species